GCGGGGGAGGGGCGGGGGAGAAAAGGGGACUUGGCUGCCCUCCACCCAGAGGCCUGCAUGCACAUCCAGCCGACACACUGGCUCUAAUCCCUGCUCCUUUGACGCACUCAUUUUCUGGUUUUUCACAAAGGCCGACUGUGCUCCCAGCAGCUGCAGCUGCUCAGGGCCCCAGGGAGGCUGUGGGAAGGGUCGCGGGGACGCUGGCAGCUGCGGGAAAAGACUCUGAGCACCUGUCCCUCUCCUCUGGGUGCUCGCCCCUCCCCCGGCCUAUGCAUUUUCCUGCCGAGGUGCAGUGGUCGGUGAGGGGAAGGGAGGGCAUGGGGGAGCUCGCGCUGCGGCCCAGUGGACUAGGGAGGCGGGUUGCAUCCCCUGCCGGGGAUCUGACAUCGGAUCGGAUCCUUGCCCCAGGAACUUCCAUGUGCCAUGGGUGCAGCCAUAAAGCAACAACAGCAGCAGCAGCAGCAGCAGCAGCAACAAGAACAAGAGCAUCUGCUUUCAGACAGCCACACCCAAGGCCCUCUGUGAGACAACUGGGGCGCAGAGGGCUGGACUCUCGUCCAAGAUCUGAUGACUAGUAAGUGCAGGAGACUCCCCUCCAAGAACCUGGUCCUCUUGGAAGAAGGUAGGAGGAAGUUCACCCUGGCUGUCCUGGUCUUUGUGCAGAAACAAGACAUGGCUCUUUGUCACCAGUGCUUGCUGAGCCUCAGUCCCUUCAUCUCUCCUCCCACUGCCAGGGUAAGUCAGUGGGGCCCUUUGCUCCUGAGUGGAGGGGACCCUUCUGGGAGGGCCUGGGUGGCCAAGGUGCAGACGCACGGAAAUCAGUCCCAAGGAGAGAGAGCAGAGAGGGAGAUGCUCAGAGAUGCUCCUGGGCCCCUGAGAACUGCUCCUGGUAGGCAGCCCGCUGUCCUUUGCAGGGUCUGGCCCCUGCCCUGCAGUCCCUCCCUCCUCUCCUUCCCCUCCCCUCCCCCUCCAGCUCUCCCUGCCUCUGGGGGGGGGGAGCAACUUUCCCUCCCCCAAGCAGGUGCCCACCCACAUGCAGCCUCAGGGCACUCCGAGGCUUCCCCCUACCACCCACUUAGAGGCAGCUGA
rnacentral:lncRNA from 1 species